rnacentral:snRNA from 1 species
AGAUGUGAGGGUGAUCUGGUUGUGAUAUCUGUUACCCCAUUGAUUGUCAAUGGGGUUGAUUCAGCUGAUAUGUCUGGUUAGACAGGAGCUACCUUCUUCCCCCACCACUCCAUAUGGAUCCCUCCAGAAGCUACACAAUGGGUCAAAAAGGAUGACCUUCCUCAAUAGAGGAUCAUUGUUUAGUCCAGGGUAUGGGAGGAGUUGUGCUCCCCUGCUAGAACCUCCAAACAUGCUCUCAAGGUCCAUUUGUAGAACGUAGGGUAGCUAAGCUUCCAAAACUCCAGACACAUCCAAAUGAGGUGUUGCAUGUGGCAGUCUUUCCUU